rnacentral:rRNA from 1 species
UACGUAGGUGGCGAGCGUUGUCCGGAUUUACUGGGCGUAAAGGGAGCGUAGGCGGAUUUUUAAGUGAGAUGUGAAAUACUCGGGCUCAACUUGAGUGCUGCAUUUCAAACUGGAAGUCUAGAGUGCAGGAGAGGAGAAUGGAAUUCCUAGUGUAGCGGUGAAAUGCGUAGAGAUUAGGAAGAACACCAGUGGCGAAGGCGAUUUUCUGGACUGUAACUGACGCUGAGGCUCGAAAGCGUGGGGAGCAAACAGG